rnacentral:rRNA from 1 species
CAUCUACGGAGAGUUUGAUCCUGGCUCAGGACGAACGCUGGCGGCGUGCUUAACACAUGCAAGUCGAACGGUGAACCC